CGCUUGAGAGAACUCGGGUGAAGGAACUAGGCAAAAUAGCACCGUAACUUCGGGAGAAGGUGCGCCGGCGUAGAUUGUAGUGACUUGCUCACGAAGGUUGAACCGGUCGAAGAUACCAGCUGGCUGCAACUGUUUAUUAAAAACACAGCACUCUGCAAACACGAAAGUGGACGUAUAGGGUGUGAUGCCUGCCCGGUGCUGGAAGGUUAAUUGAUGGUGUAAUCGAAAGAGAAGCUCCUGAUCGAAGCCCCAGUAAACGGCGGCCGUAACUAUAACGGUCCUAAGGUAGCGAAAUUCCUUGUCGGGUAAGUUCCGACCUGCACGAAUGGCAUAAUGAUGGCCAGGCUGUCUCCACCCGAGACUCAGUGAAAUUGAAAUCGCCGUGAAGAUGCGGUGUACCCGCGGCUAGACGGAAAGACCCCGUGAACCUUUACUAUAGCUUGACACUGAACCUUGAAUUUUAAUGUGUAGGAUAGGUGGGAGACAAAGAAGCGGUAACGCCAGUUAUCGUGGAGUCGUUGUUGAAAUACCACCCUUUAACGUUUGAUGUUCUAACGAAGCGCUCGGGACGAGUGUUCGGACAGUGUCUGGUGGGUAGUUUGACUGGGGCGGUCUCCUCCCAAAGCGUAACGGAGGAGCACGAAGGUUGGCUAAUGACGGUCGGACAUCGUCAGGUUAGUGCAAUGGUAGAAGCCAGCUUAACUGCGAGACGGACAAGUCGAGCAGGUACGAAAGUAGGUCAUAGUGAUCCGGUGGUUCUGAAUGGAAGGGCCAUCGCUCAACGGAUAAAAGGUACUCCGGGGAUAACAGGCUGAUACCGCCCAAGAGUUCAUAUCGACGGCGGUGUUUGGCACCUCGAUGUCGGCUCAUCACAUCCUGGGGCUGAAGUAGGUCCCAAGGGUAUGGCUGUUCGCCAUUUAAAGUGGUACGCGAGCUGGGUUUAGAACGUCGUGAGACAGUUCGGUCCCUAUCUGCCGUGGGCGUUGGAGGAUUGAGGGGGGUUGCUCCUAGUACGAGAGGACCGGAGUGAACGCACCGCUGGUGUUCCAGUUGUUUCGCCAGAAGCAUUGCUGGGUAGCUAAGUGCGGAAGAGAUAAGUGCUGAAAGCAUCUAAGCACGAAACUUGCCCCGAGAUGAGUUCUCCCAGUCUAAGAGACUGUAAGGGUUGUUGAAGACGACGACGUAGAUAGGUGGGGUGUGUAAGCGGUGUGAGCCGUUGAGCUAACCCAUACUAAUUGCCCGAGAGGCUUAACUAUACAACGCUGAAGGGUUUU
rnacentral:rRNA from 1 species